GACGAACGCGGGCGGCGUGCUUAACACAUGCAAGUCGAACGAAGAGCGAUGGAAGCUUGCUUCUAUCAAUCUUAGUGGCGAACGGGUGAGUAACGCGUAAUCAACCUGCCCUUCAGAGGGGGACAACAGUUGGAAACGACUGCUAAUACCGCAUACGAUCUAAUCUCGGCAUCGAGGAUAGAUGAAAGGUGGCCUCUACAUGUAAGCUAUCACUGAAGGAGGGGAUUGCGUCUGAUUAGCUAGUUGGAGGGGUAACGGCCCACCAAGGCGAUGAUCAGUAGCCGGUCUGAGAGGAUGAACGGCCACAUUGGGACUGAGACACGGCCCAGACUCCUACGGGAGGCAGCAGUGGGGAAUCUUCCGCAAUGGACGAAAGUCUGACGGAGCAACGCCGCGUGAGUGAUGACGGCCUUCGGGUUGUAAAGCUCUGUUAAUCGGGACGAAAGGCCUUCUUGCGAAUAGUAGAAGGAUUGAC
rnacentral:rRNA from 1 species